rnacentral:rRNA from 1 species
CCUACGGGAGGCAGCAGUGGGGAAUCUUGGACAAUGGGCGCAAGCCUGAUCCAGCUAUUCCGCGUGUGGGAUGACGGCCUUCGGGUUGUAAACCACUUUUGUUGAGAACGAAAAGUCUGUUGAUAAUACCGAUAGAUGAUGACGGUACUCUAAGAAUAAGCACCGGCUAACUACGUGCCAGCAGCCGCGGUAAUACGUAGGGUGCGAGCGUUGAGCGGAUUUACUGGGCGUAAAGGGUGUGCAGGCGGUUUUGCAAGAUGGAUGUGAAAGCCCCGGGCUUAACCUGGGAAAGCCAUACAAGACUGCAAGACUAGAGUGCGUCAGAGGGAGGUGGAAUUCCAAGUGUAGCAGUGAAAUGCGUAGAUAUUUGGAAGAACACCGAUGGCGAAGGCAGCCCCCUGGGACGCAACUGACGCUCAUACACGAAAGCGUGGGGAGCAAACAGGAUUAGAUACCCUGGUAGUC